rnacentral:rRNA from 1 species
UGGGGAAUAUUGCGCAAUGGGGGAAACCCUGACGCAGCAACGCCGCGUGAGUGAGGAAGGCUUUCGGGUCGUAAAGCUCUGUCAGAAGGGAAGAAACUACAGUGGUCUAAUAGGCCAUUGUACUGACGGUACCUUCAAAGGAAGCACCGGCUAACUUCGUGCCAGCAG